rnacentral:lncRNA from 1 species
CUAAUUUCUUCUGAUAUCCGAGUGAAUUCUUGUUCAUUGGUCGAAUGGAUUUCACUCGACAGAGUCGCUACUUCUGCCACCUCUCCGGCGCGCCAAGAAGAUGACCCCAUGGACAUGGACAACGUCGUCUCGUCCCAGCCAGGUGCGUUGUAGUGACUCCGAGUGUUUUAUUCUAUCAUAGGUUCUGCCUCUUUCUUUUUC